AACUUUAUGCAUGGUUUGUUGGUGAUUUUUGAUGAUUUUUUGUUUCUGAGUUUAUUCGUUUGUUGAUAAUUUUUUAUUAUUUUUUGAGUUUUCUGGGUUUUACGAUUUGUUGAUGAUUUUUAUGGUUUUCUAGGUUUGUUGGUUUCUAGAUGGCUUUUUAUGAUUCUUUUUUAUUUUAUUUUUCUGGGUUUUGAUAUGCUAAUGAUUUUUAUGGUUUUCUAGGUUUGUUGGUUUCUUGAUGAUUUUUUUAUUUUUAUUUUUCUGGGUUUGGAGCCAUUGGAGGGGGGAAUAGUGGUGGCGGUGAGGGGAGGGCAUCGCCGACGUUGAGGGGGGGGUGGAGAGCAACCGAACACCAAGGAGAGGGAUAGGAAGAGGGAGAGGGAGAGGGAGAGGGAGAAGGUUUGUUUUGUUUAAUAACUCUGUAUUUAUUUAUUUAGAAAACAAUCCUACUUUCUCCCCUUCCCAUAAAAGUAUAGGUUAAAUCUAUUCUAAUAUUUAAUAGCAGGAGGUUGGAGAGCCAUGUGGUACUCUCCUAGAAUUUCAAAAUUUUAUUAUAUAAAAAUAAAAAAUAAAAAACCCUUGGAUUCUCUACCUUUUUCUGUUCUUUCAUCCCGUCGUUUCGCUAUGAAAUUCAUCUGUAAACUAACUACUCUUUAAUCUUUCAUAAUUCUCUUCCUUCUCGUACGAGUUCAAUUCAAACGUUUUUAUUUUGCAAAAACAUGGAAGUGAGUAAAUCUGAAAUUCACUUUUCAAGAGUUUUCCUUCUCUAUGUUUUCGCCUUUUCCUCCUUUUCUACAGAGUAUUAGUAUUAUAGUUCAAUUCAAUUUAAUUGUGUGGAAUGUGAUCAAUAUUUUUCUCUAUGGUGGAAAUUCAAAGACAAGAGGAUCUAGAGAAGAAGAUGAUUUUCCAGAUUGGAAAUUAUGACACUAAAGACAAGCCCUAAAUAUAUGCAGAACAAGGGUUCAUAAGAACAAUGGUUAUCUUAUGGUGUCCUGAAAUGAUGGACUUAAUCAAAUGCGUGUGGCGGUAUGUUGAUCAUUAGUAUAAGUAUUGAAUUGAAUCAAUUGAGAUAUAAAUUAUCUGUUCAUAUUUGUGGGUGUAUAAUUCUUGAUAAUGCACCAUCACCCCUCUUUGUUUAGUGGGAUUAUUGGUAUUGAAUCUUCGUUAAAUGUGGUUUCUUUGUUAAUGUAUGUUAAGUGUUCGACGAAAUGCCGCGCCGAAAGGGGUCAUUCAAUUAUGUGUUUCUUUCUCUGCUAGCAUAUUAGAAUUUUGGUACUAUUUGUUACUGAGUCCAUGGGGAUUCUUUGUUAAUGCAUGUUAAAUGUUCGGCGAAAUGCCACACUGAAAAGGGUCAUUCAAUUAUGUGUUUGCUAGCAUUAGAAUUUAGGUACUGUUUGUUGUUUAUUCAAUGGGGGUUAUGGUUUUGCUGUGAAUUUUUGAUAUACCGUGAUUUUGCAGGUGUUGUGAGUUGCUUCCUAAUUUCAGUAAAUUGUAGAUAGAUAGAUUGUAGUUUUGACAUCAGGGCUGUUGUACAUCGGUGAAAAUUUCUAUUUAGGGUUUAUCUGGUAGUCCUUCGGGUUAUUGUGUUCACUCGCCUGCUCGAUCCUCAAGAGCAUUAGAUGGGCGACUUUGUGCCGUACCUCAGCUUACAAAAUUUGGGAGGCUCCUUCGACUUGAAGGGUAUUAUGCUAAUUAUCCUCAAUAUUAUUUGCAUCACUAGCCCUUGGCAUAAUAAUGAUAAUGACAUGGAUUAUGUCUAAUACGCCCUCACUUUACAGAAAUUGAUUGGCUCAACUUAAGAGUAGAUAUUCUCGACCUCAGCUUUUGUAAUUUAACACCUUACUUAUUCUCUGCCUCUUAUUCCUUUCUCUCAAACUCUCAGUGUUUAUUGACCAACAACUAAUUUCUCAAUGUUUACACGUUAUAUUAUACAGUAUGACAGUAAGUGGAAUGUUAGGAUAAGUGAGAGUAAGACAUAUCUUAGACUUGAGUCACUGUCUUAGCAUUAGAUAAUAUGCAAUUGUUAAUGUUGUAAUUGAGCCUUGGGAUGAGAUUAUUGUCCAACCAUCAGCAGGUCCUUUGUUCGGGAUGGGAUUAUUGUCCAAUCAUCAGCACUCAGCAGGUCCUUUGUUGAUGCAAACACUAUAAGGGCCUAAGGGGAGAAAUGAUCUACAUAACACAGAAGAGUCAGGCAUGAAGAUUCUUUACCCUUCAUUAAAUAGCAUGUUUUAUGUUUAGCUUGCUUAUAUCAUGUUCACAUUCUGUUUAAUUAUUGUGCAACUUAGAAUGAGUGGCCUAUGCUAGAAAGUCCCUGACUAGGGAGCUUAAACCAGUAUAACACCUAUACAUAUUUCAAUAUUUCAUGAUCCAAAUGUAAUCUGAUGAACAAUCAAGUCCAAUUUCUAUAAAAUCAAUGAUCAUCUUCUUACGCAAAAAGACCAGAAAGUACGGCCAAAAAGAAUUAUUAUUUUAUUCGUUAUAAAUCAAUACGAAGUAUUUGCUUGAGAACUAAUUGAUGUGAAAUUCAAGCAGGAGUCAGGAGUCAGGAGUGCAUGCUUUAUGAUAACAAUAUGGCUCUGCGAUUAUUUGUCAUAUGUUUUGUUCGUACAAUUAUGUUUUUCAAUGCUGAUAUUGAUAAAGGUCUAAUUUGUAAGGCGUUCUUAUAGAAAAUGUACCCAUUUUUUAAAAUGAUUGAGAACUAAUUGAUGUGUAAUUCAAUUAAGAGUGCAUGCUUUAUAAUAACAAUGUGGCAUUACUAUUAUUUGUCAUAUACUUCUUAUAUUUUGUUAUCGUACAAUUAUAUUUUUUUUAAUGCUGACGUUGGCGGUUUAAUGUGUAAGAUGGUCCUAUAGAAGACUUACCUAUUUAAUAGUUAUAAAUAAAAACAAAUUGAUAACUGAUAUCGUUCCUUUGCAGAUUAAAGGGAAAAUAAUAAGAGGCAUCGACAACAUCGGCAUCGACAACAUAGCAAAGGAAUAGGUCAUUGGUGUGGAAUGCAGGGCAUCAACAACGCAAUUAUAAUUUUUCUUAUAUUAAAGAAUAGUUUUUUUGAUUGUAACUAAUCUGUUUGAUUUUAUCUACUCCGUAUUAUGUUAGGAAUAACUUUUAAAGAAUGUAAUACUAAAACUUUAAUCAUGUAUUGUACAAAGAAUUUAACUAAGA